rnacentral:lncRNA from 1 species
GCAAUUUUAAAGCUUAAAUUCAUCGUUUAUAUAUAUAUAUAUAUAUAUAUAUAUAUAUAUAUAUAUAUAUAUAUAUAUAUAUAUUCGUUUAAAGCUCCAGUAUGCGAUUUUUGUAAUUGACCACAAGAGGGCGCAUUUCCAACAAUAACAAAGGCGAAGCUUGAUGACGCUAUGAAGCAGGUGAUGAUGUCUUUUUUAAUGCGUUUUCACCAUAGCAAUGUAUCUAAACUGGAUAAACGAAUCAUGAUCACGGAUGAGGUUGAUGCAGGGCAAGAUAUUCAGAUUUGAACACCCUGCCCAGGAGGUCCUUUUGAAACAUGAUCAAUUGUGCCACUACCAGGGAAGAUACUGCCAACUAUACCCUGCCUCUACACAGAUUGCAUCUGCUCCUUUAAAACCACUGGUUGAAGUCUCACCUUUUAAGAUCACACAAGUGCUUAUCUUCACAUGAGAGUCACUUAACAUUGAAUGGUGAAUUGUGUGACUUUAAGGAAAUUUGUAAAACACCCUAUUACUCUAAACAUAUAAGGAGUCAUUUAAAAAAAAUCAUGAAACUUUAAGGUGCCCUUUUAGCCAGUGUGGUUUUUAAAACACAUCUGAUUUCAUCAUCCAGUGGUCACAGAAGUCCAAAAAAUUUGCAGCUUUUCCAUUGACUGGACCCGUUGUUAUUUUUGCACAUUAUUUUGGACUUGAAUUUUGUGAUAGUUUUUAUUUGAUGCUUUCCCAAUUUAAUUAACUGUGUAGAAAUUUUUAAUUUUGCAACACAAAUGUGAUAAGCUCUUAACUUUAAAAAAAACUUUCUAUUGUAAUUAAUUUUAUUGCGAAUGAAAUGACUUGAUCUGGUUUGUUAUUUAAAGUUGCUGUUCUACAAAAAAAAAUCAUAUUGAUGAAAUAAAAUUGUGAUUCUGUCCAUUUAAAGAUUUUUUUUUGAGGACCAAUGUUGUACUGAGUAGCAUUUAACAAAUUAAUUCACUCAUAUUGGAUUGACAGUUUUGUGCUGAACUUUAAACUGCUUGAGUAAAACCUAAAGUUAUGAAGCUGUACUGUAAACCCCCCCCCCCCCCCCCAAAAAAAAAGUUGAGAGCUCAAAAAACUUCGGAAGCUGGUUGCCUUAAACUGAAAAUUUUUCAACUUUUUUUUUUUUUAAAGCAACUUUCCUACCAUCAGGUUUUGUAAACUUAUAGAGUUUUUAUCAUUUAAGACUAUAUUUCUAAUCAACUAAACACAAAGUGGAAAGUUUAACUAAAAGUUCAAUUAACUUAAUAUAUUAUGUUGAUUAAACAUGCACAAAAGUUUGUACAACUAAUUGACCUUUAAGUUGAGUAAACUCAAAAAUCUGCUGAAGCUGGUAGCUUCAGUCAUAAAUUGGGCCAACUUUAAAUUUUAAGGCAAAAAACUUCAGCAGAUUUUUGAGUUUGCUCAACUUAAAGGUCAGUUAGUUGUACAAACUUUUGUGCAUGUUCAAUCAACAUAAUAUAUUAAGUUAAGUGAACUUUUAGUUAAACUUUCAAUUUUGUGUUUAGCUGACUUAGUCAUAAGUUGGGCCAACUUAAAAUUUUUAGUCAAUUUAAAACAAAAUUUAAAGUUUAACUAAAAGUUCACUUAAAGGUGCUGUAGGGAACUUUUGUAAAAAAAAAAAUCUUUUUUACAUAUUUAUUAAACCUGUCAUUAUGUCCUGACAGUAGAAUAUGAGACAGAUAAUCUGUGAAAAAAAUCAAGCUCCUCUGGCUCCUAUUGCCAUUUGCAGAAAGUCAGCCGCUCCCGGUAAAAAACAACCAAUCAGAGCUGCGGUCCGUAACUUUGUUUGUGUUCAAAAUGUAGAAAAAUGAAUAUAAUAAGUGAGUACACCAUGAAUCCAUUUUCCAAACCGUGUUUUUGGCUUGUCCUGAAUCACUAGGGUACACCUAUAAUAAGUGUUUAUAUUCUGACUAUUUUAGAUUGCCUCGGGGGUAUACCGCGGCGGAGUAACACAGUACCUUUGUGAUUCUUCAUAGACAUAAACAGA